UUGCUCUUCAACGAGGAAUGCCUAGUAAGCGCGUGUCAUCAGCAUGCGUUGAUUACGUCCCUGCCCUUUGUACACACCGCCCGUCGCUACUACCGAUUGAAUGGCUCAGUGAGGCGUUCGGACUGGCUCGAGGAGGUUGGCAACGACCACCUCAAGCCGGAAAGUUCGUCAAACUCGGUCAUUUAGAGGAAGUAAAAGUCGUAACAAGGUUUCCGUAGGUGAACCUGCGGAAGGAUCAUUAUCAAAACAGCGGACUUCGGUCCUUGCUGCACCCUUGUCUUUUGCGUACCGUAUGUUUCCUCGGCGGGCUUGCCUGCCGGUUGGACAUUAUCAAACCUUUUUGUAGUUGCAAUCAGCGUCAGAAAACAAAUAAUAAUUACAACUUUCAACAACGGAUCUCUUGGUUCUGGCAUCGAUGAAGAACGCAGCGAAAUGCGAAAAGUAGUGUGAAUUGCAGAAUUCAGUGAAUCAUCGAAUCUUUGAACGCACAUUGCGCCCCUUGGUAUUCCAUGGGGCAUGCCUGUUCGAGCGUCAUUUUGUACCCUCAAGCACUGCUUGGUGUUGGGCGUUUGUCCUGCAAAGGACUCGCCUGAAAGCGAUUGGCGGCCAACGUACUGGUGGUAGAGCGCAGCACAAUUUGCGUCUCUCCCUUCUACGUCGGCGUCCAUGAAGCCUUUUUUCAACGUUUGACCUCGGAUCAGGUAGGGAUACCCGCUGAACUUAAGCAUAUCAAUAAGCGGAGGA
rnacentral:rRNA from 1 species